CUGGGUUUCAGUUGGAGAAGCUGGUUGCACCGUAUUUGACAUCCUAUCACCCUGUCCUCUGUAUAAGAAAGAUACAAGAUUAAGAUAAUACCAACCAGAAUACCAAAGGGAAUAGACAGAGCCAAUAUCCAUACAUGCACGCUGCUGAACCAGGUCUAAAAUUAUAUCCUGCAGAAAAUACCAUUUUAUACAACUCUAGAAGAAUGUUUAGUCCCAGAAACCAAACAGCGUGGGAAAAAAAAGAAAGAAAAGAAAGACGUGACUGCAGAAAUUCUAUAUCUUAAGAUCAUCAGUCACCAACCCAGGUGUUUAUUUUCCAGGCUAGUGACCUCUAAAAGCAAACAGAAAAGGGGUACAAUACUGUAGAUGUGAAGGAAAAAUAAAAGAAGAGUGAACCAA